UGUCACUAGUUACCACACCCACAAAUGUCAAAAUUCGCUAUAUCGUAAAAGUUAAUGAAUGUAUUUCGUUGCUUUUUGUCUUCAUUUAAGGUUAGGUAUAUGGUUAUGUUUAUAAUCUGAUUUUAAGGAGGUAAAUUAUAGAAAUAGGUGGGGUUUAGCCAUAAUUAUGACUUUGCCGAUCUGGUAACUAGUAACAACCGAUCACCACCGCAACCCACUUCCCGACCAUUAAAGAACAUUGCUCUAUUCCACACUGCGGGGACCCAUGAUCACCCAGAGGGCCAGUGUCUUCACCAGACCGGCCAAAGACCCUCUCGGCCCUUCCGAGACCAUCAUUUGGACUGGGACUGUUCGCACUGGCUAUCCUGGGACCUUCCGGUUGGAUUCUCACCAACAUUGAGGACUACAAGAAGAAAGAUUAACUUAACAUGGACUCAUGUUAAUGGAUGUUCCGUACAUUCUCUACUUAUUCAAGACCCUCCUGGGAUCAUCAUUACUUCAAGAACUCUGUGGAAUAAAUCCCCAACCUCUAUGAACUACCUCUCCAUCUCCACGUUACUCUCCUCACUCCUAGUUUACUCUUCAGCCCUUUGGAGAACCGACUGCAAAUAGAAUGGCUGCACAACAUCUCAAGAAUUGUGAAUUUUAAUUGAACAAGGAGUAUGCUACAAUAUUAAAACAUAAUUCAACUUGAAAUAUUCUAGUCUCAAAUGUGCCAGUUUGUCAAGUGCCUCUCAAUGAUGCCAACACCACUCACUAAAUAGCUUGGAGAAAAACAAGCUAUAAGAGCUGUCUAUUUGAUUUACUAAGUGUUCUGUUGAAGUUACUAUAAAUCAUUUCACAUUCCUGUAAAGAAUGUUAUUUUUGGGUUACCUUAUGUGGUAAGAAAGUAGUCUGGGUACUGGUCUUAUUAGCUAACAUUCCACCCUUUGCUACUCCUGCAAAUUACCUAGUGGAAUGUUAGCUGAAGAGAGCGGUACCCAUUCUAGCAAGAAUGUACUUUAGCACUGAUCUUCAAAUGGGUGCAUUUCAUUCUAGUUUCCACUUUUUUUCUAUAGGUUUCAAAUUUAUUGAUGCCACUUGCAUCCAAAGUAAAGUGGUAAUGUAAAUUAUGAUUUCAUUAUAAAAUAGCACCAUCUGUUGGCCAAUAGCUGCUAUUACAACAUGCUGCAAUUGAAAUGAACACUUUUACCUUUAACUAGGCAAGUCAAUUAAGAACAAAUUCUUAUUUUCAAUGACAGCCUAAAAACAGUGGGUUAACUGCCUUGUUCUGGGGUAGAACAACAGAUGUUUACUUUGUCAGCUCAGGAAUUCAAUCUUGCAACCUUUCAGUUACUAGUCCAAUGCUCUAACCACUAGGCUACCUGACACUACAGUGCAUUUUUUCCCCACCUUUAUGGCUGCCUACACAAGUAGCGCAAUUCUGAUAUUUUUCUCAAUUAUUGUGCUUAUGUGCUAAGUCCCUUAUGGAGUUUUAAUUUGGCUCCAUUUCAUUUGUUAAUGUACAUUAAAAAAAAUCUUGAAUCUGCAUUUGAAAGUUUGAGUGUCUACAGGGUUGUGCUCUUCUGUUACCCUGAAAAAAUACAUUUAUUUAUUGAAUAUGUGCAUCUUGUAAAAAAAAAUGUAUCGCCAAUGCCAUCAGGUUAAAACAGACAGGAGUCCAAUCAAUGUUUAUUGUUUUAACAAUAGUUUAAUAUAGUUUAUGAAGUAAUUACUUUAAAUGAUCACAGUGGAGUAGGAAGUGGAAAAUGCUUUGAUGCAUUACUAUUAACUCAAAUUAGGGCAUCAAAGAAACUUGUCAGUGCUGCAUCGUUGCCCGGCUGUGCUUUGUCACAGAAAGAAGGAGGGUUGAAAACUUCAGGGUCCUCAACUCCGAGCACCAUGUCAAAGAAACUCAGACUGGAGAUGGAACAGACAGUAACAUAAAAGCCCCCGUCAGGCUAAAAGCAUUCAGACGUGGGCUCUUUCUCAAUGCAGUGUUUCUCAAACAAGACCAUAGUCCCUUCAUCAGAUACUGUAUAUGACUGUUUCAUGAUUUACAAUAACAGAACUGCCUAAAAUUCGGAAUGUGUACCACUUACCUUAGAAGGGUUUGAUCCUCAAUGUUGUACCACCAGGCAUGAACGGGCAGGCAACCAAACUCAGUGAAAGUGAGGAGGUAAUCAUCUGUAAGGAGUGUGCAUGGACAUUAUAAUAAAAUGUGCAGAGAUGAUACAAACCACUAGCUAUGUGAACAGCACACCGAUGGAUUAUGGCAAGGUUUUGAUUAUAUUUCUUAAUUCACUCAUGCAAAGGGAAUUUAGCAGUGAAUGUAAAUAAUAGUCGGUAGUUAGUCGGAGGUUUUCUAGAGUAUUCGUCAUUCACUCACCGUGAGGCUCUGCCAUUGUUCCUGACCAGUUGUUGACCAGCAGCCCUUCUGCAGGAGCGGAAAGGCUCCCAAUGAUCACCUGUGAUUGGAACUUGGCAUCCCUGGGGAUCUCCAUUGGCUUCCAGGGAUCCUUAAAGUGGACCUUCUCACAAGUUUGAUUAUGACGGAAGAUUUGGUAAGCUAUACCCUGAGAAGAUGAAUAAUAGACACAAUGUCAGAAUGGUUUUUAUUUUUGAAUGGAAAUGGCCUUCACACUAUAUCAUCAUCCAGUACAACCCCCUGAAUAACAAUGAUAAUGUAGAGAAUAUGUGUCUGUAAGAUCAAACCUCUUUAUAAAGAAGAAGGGUGUCUCUGUAGGUGGUGUGGUUGUCCUGGUCCAGAAGAAGUCGGAUGUGCACCCUCUCUUCAAAAGCAUCAUAGGAGAAUU